GGAGCGGGUCCUGUGCAACGCGAACCCAUGAACCUGGUCAGGUCCGGAAGGAAGCAGCCAUAAGUGGAUCAUCGCGUGUGCCGCAGGGUAGCCUGCUCUGAGC
rnacentral:SRP_RNA from 12 species